CUCAGAACAUUGCACAACAACUGACACUUUCCCAGGCACCAAAAAAAUACCAGCCACAUUUCUACCAUGUUUAUAUGAUCACAUUACACCGAUGGAUUACUGAACAGAGACUCGAAUUUCCAAAGUAUGACAACAAAUAUAUAAUGUUUCAAAUAGACAUGAAUUCACCGGUGAUUUUUUCGUAUAGUUAGACAACUCUUGUAAUAAUUAUUUCACCUUCAGUUUACUUUAUGUGCAAGUUAAUAAAGUAAUUGUUAAUAAGCCAAUAAUAAUAAUAAUAAUAAAUGUAAAAACAGGCAUUGUAUAAUGUAUAGUUGACGCAGUUCUAGACCCAAUUGUAUAAAAGUCGAUAAUCGAUUCUGUUGACUUUCAAUAACGAUAACAUAAUAAUACCUAGGAUAAAACUAAUAAAAAAUUUUGUAUUUUAUUUUUGUAUUGUUCAAAACGGACUAUGUAGAUGAAAAUUAACUUUGGCAAAUUUUCUUUGUAAUAUGCAUUUGUUGUUCCUGAUUAAAUUAUGCAUUGCCAUUUGCACGAACAACAAAUUCUAGUUUACAAAGCAAUGCGCUCUGUAAAUUACAUAAUUCAGUAUUGCCUAAAUAUAAUUUUCAAAGUAAUAAAAAUUCAGUAUUUGUAAUGUUAUCAGUACGUAUGUAACAUUGGAAAAGAUAAUAAUAUCUUUUAUUAAAUGUCUUACAAAAUA